GGGAGCAGCUUGCAGAGCUCAAGGCUCGCCGCCAGAGGCACUAAGGCUGAAGAGGAGCUCCAGCUGCCUAAGCUGGCCUGAGGUUGCCUAGUUACUGCCCAAGGAAGGAGGAAGAGGUGCUAAAGGCAGGCAGACACUCUGGCAACCUCUGUAAAACUCUGUGGUGGCGUUGGAGUCCCUUAGCUCCGGAGUUGCUUACCCUUCCUGUGAGAGCGAUCGGACCCUUUCCGGUAUGUGACAUAAUUAUCCCUGCACUCACUUAACUAUUGAUUUGGAUGCAGUUAAGAGAUAAAACCUCACAGAUUUACCGACGUUUAAGGGACAACUGUGUCUGCCAUGGAACUCACAGAGAUUUGUCUGCCUCUGCUUCCUGAGUAUUGGGAUUCAAGCCUUGGACCACUCUGACCUGCAGGGGAGAGCACAAACGCAGUCCCCCCACUACCACAAAUUAUGCAGUCAAGUUUCCCUUAAGUGGAGAAACGGCAGGGGUCAGCACAUCUGGAGUGCAAUGAAUGAGUCUAGCCCUGGAAACACCUCCUUAGUGAUCAUGGUAUCUCUCCUGCCAGCCUGCCAUUAUUUUUAACAUCCAAGCACAGACAUCUAUAUAAAAUCAUUUGACUCCAUUUAAAGCAACAUAUAUGAAAGCAUAUCCUUAAAUGUUUCAAAUGUUAGUUGCUGUUAUGAUUAUAACACACUAUUGGGCUACUGCAGUUCAUGGCCUUUGUUUUCCUCGGAAUAUUGGUAUUUUAUUGACUAAGUCUCAAAGACAUAUGCAUUUACCAUGUCAUCCACCAACAUUUUUUUUAUUUUACAUUCACAAUAUUGUAUUGUAACUACCAAAUAAAUGCUAAGACACAGCUAACCAGUCCCAAAACAUAUACAAAUAUUCACCACCCAGUAGAAUUAUAAGUACUGUAUGGUACAUUAUGUUUCUGGUUAAGCAAACUAUGAAGAAAACAAAAGGAUCAGUUGUGUGCAUUUCUGCAAUUUAUUUCUAAAAACACAUUUUCUUCAACCUUAGAAUUUGAACAUUUACCCUUGGAGUUGGCGUUCUUUUAGGCUUCACCUCUGGUGUAAAGGGCACAGGCAUCUGCAUCAGGAAACAUCAUUAUAUAAGAAAAGAGGAAGAUAUCAUAUUUGAAGAAAGAGCACUAGCAAUGAAAACUAUGAGUACGAUUUAAAAUAAGCACUAGGAACCAAAAACAAACAAACAAAAAAACCUUUCUUUCAGAACCCUUCCAAAUAAGCCUUGUAUUAAACAUAAUAUUGUCUAGGAUUCCAUGAUUCUAAAACCUCCAUUCCAUGCUAACUAACAUGGGCAGCAUUUUACAAAGGCCACUUACAGCAGACAGUCGGGCAGAUCUUCUCUUUGGCUGGAUGUGGGGAAAAAAAACAGUCACACGAAUUAUAGAUAUACAAAUCUAGAGUUAUUUUUAUUGGGACAAUAUUUGGUGUAACACUGUAAAUAUUGCUACUAAGGAAGUGAUUAUAAAUUUGGCUAGGAAAUACCAUAGUACACACAUCUGACCCCCUUUUCAUAUGGUAGAGGGAAUAAAAUCCUAUGACAAGCUUCUUUCACUGAGCUAAAUCAGUAAAAUUGCUAUUAUCGAGGAGCACAUCUUCAAAUGAAAAUAUGCUUUUUUGCUUACCAACUGGCAAAACAGAAUUUAAGCCUAAGAAGGUGCUCUCUGGAUCUGAUAUCAUAACAAGCACAGUAGAAUCCUCAAUUCCAAAAAGCCUGUCAUUUUUAUUAAUGUACUUUUGAGAGAGCACUGGCAUACCCAAUAUUAGUUAGUACUCAUUUGGUACAAAUAUAACCACCAGCAUUUAUUUUUACCUAGUUAUAUGUCUUUAGUUUCUAAAAUGGGUGCAUUUUUUUCAGAGAAACUCACAAACUAAAGACACUCACCUCCUGACUGGCAUCACCUGCAGCCUAUGUAGAGGGAGAAAAAUAAAAAUAAAAAAAGAGAAAUAGGAUAGUCAGUAUAAAUACACAGCCCAGAAAAUAUCGCUGCUGGAUUGUAAUUAUAACUUUAGCCACUUGUGACUUUUUUCCUGGGUUCCCGCUCCAGCAGCCACGUGUUGUUUCCUAGCAGCUAUUCUACAUCUGCUGUUUUAGUAAUAGGAAACGUGCACCAAGAUGCAAGUCCAUGCUUAAGACCCAUUUACAAAGAGCCAGUGUAACCUUUUUUUGUGUAAAUAACGUCUCUUAAAAACAAACCAUUUUCAUUUUGAAAUCCACCUGCUCUAAUGUUAAAGCCAAAACAAGGGUUGGGGCGGGACGAACGAAGGCGGAGCUUCUUGCAAUUUCCCUCUCUUGCCUUAUGUUUGCUAUGCAAUGGUAUCUAUCUGACCUGCUCUACGAAUUACGGACUAUUUUCCUUCCCAAGUUCUGCAUACAAAACAACAGCCCCACCAUACUUUCAGGGAAGAACGUCUUUGUUCUAACGUCAACGUUUUAUUCGGAGAAGCAGGCAGAGGAUUUUAAAACUUCCCGCCACUACCUGCUCCAAGGUUGCUGUCAGCUCUGUAAAAAAGCAAGAUCCAUUGCACAAGCCUAAAAGAGCCCGGCGGGAGCCUGGGGAAAGGGGGUGGUGAUUAGAAACAAUCGCUUUCGGUAUCUGAGUAGCCCUUUACCCUGGGAAUUACCAGGCUAUUAUUUCAUCGUUUCAUACAGCCCAGAGCACUGAGGAAUUCAGCCUCGUUUCUGGGUUCUAGGAAUACGGAAGGCGGACGGAUUCACAAGAAUAUAAAAGCAAUUAUAAGGCUCUUUUACAUUAACGCAGUGUUUUACGAUUUCACCAAAGCAAUGAAACAGCACUCCAUUUUAGAUGUAAGAGACUCGGCAGAAAAAAAAGAAACAAAUACUGAGCGUCAACUUAUUUCCUAUCUAUUCGGAGACAGGAAUUUUGAAAUGAAGGUUUACAGAAGACCUGAAGCCCUUGGUAGCUCAGACCAACUCCCAAUGUCUAAAGUGAACAAAUCUCACGCCGCCCCACCAUCCAACGCUGGUUGUAGUUUCUCAGACGCGGCUCACUAAUCACCUUUCCACCUUUAACUAGAGAGUUCCGAGAGUGCCAAAUCUCUCAGAUCUAAAGUUUCUAAUUACAGCGGUGAAUCUCUUCCUUCUCUAGGACAGUUUGAAGUCUGCGCCGCCUAAUGGCACAGGAUUACCAUUGCAUAGCCAUCUGGCAUGACAAGAAGUGGAGGAGGGAAGAGGGGGAAAAAAAGAAAAAAGAAAACGGAAAGAACAAAGGCAAAAACAAGAGAAAGCCAGGGCUUUCGUUCCUCCAAACGGGACGGUUCCCGGAGAAAAACUGGAGGUAGAGGAGGAAGCUGGCGCUGGAAGUGUGGUUGGGAGAAGAGUUCUCCAAUAGGGUUGCCUAAGUGUGGAACAUUUGUCCAGCUCUUCAUCCCACCCUCAUCAUUCUUUCUAGCAGUAAACAAGGAUGGUUUCUUCUAGAGAUUACUACCUUAAAUGCCAUCAUGGAG